UACGAAGGGGGCUAGCGUUGCUCGGAAUUACUGGGCGUAAAGGGCGCGUAGGCGGCCUACUAAGUCAGACGUGAAAUCCCCGGGCUUAACCUGGGAACUGCAUUUGUGACUGGCGGGCUAGAGUAUGGCAGAGGGGGGGUAGAAUUCCACGUGUAGCAGUGAAAUGCGUAGAUAUUGGGGAGGAACACCAGUGGCGAAGGCGGCUCACUGGCCCGAUACUGACGCUGAGGCACGAAAGCGUGGGGAGCAAACGGGG
rnacentral:rRNA from 1 species